GUUGACCUCGGAUCAGGUAGGGAUACCCGCUGAACUUAAGCAUAUCAAUAAGCGGAGGAAAAGAAACCAACAGGGAUU
rnacentral:rRNA from 1 species